UACAGAGGUCUCAACCGUUGUUCGGAUUCAUUGGGCGUAAAGGGUGCGUAGGCGGCGGAGUAAGUCAGGUGUGAAAUCUCGGGGCUCAACCCCGAAACUGCACUUGAUACUGCUUCGCUUGAGUACUGGAGAGGAGACUGGAAUUUACGGUGUAGCAGUGAAAUGCGUAGAUAUCGUAAGGAAGACCAGUGGCGAAGGCGGUUCUCUGGGACGGUACUGACGCUGAGACGCGAAAGCGUGGGGAGCGAACAGG
rnacentral:rRNA from 1 species